GUAGCGGUACUUUCUAUUUUGAAUUUAAAAAAUUCGCUCGAUCGUUUGUUUGCACUUGUUUGACAAACAUUGUGUUGGUCGAAGAACACACGUGACUCGAUCGAUCGAAUCGUUUGAUCUUCGAUCGAAUAUGAAUGAACAGUUUCGCUGAAGAAUAACGAUAUCGAUAACGAUUAUAUGAAUCGAUGUUUAUGGUGAUUUGGUUCCGAGGUAAGCGCUGAGCUGUUCGACUCAUUCCUCUUGCCAGAAGGUUCGUCACCUCCCCACUCCGUGGCCAGAUCCUUCCAGGGCAUUCUUAUCAUCUAACACGCGCCGUAGAGCACCAUGACGUCGGGUCAUCGGCUACACGUGCGUUCCUGGGAACUUCGAAACAGUAACGUUCGCGUCUCUUAGAAUUUGUUAACGAAAACUGCACAUUGCACACAUCUGUGAGAGAACUCGUCGGCAAACCAAAAUUCAUGGCAUCGGCAGCCCGAUGGCUUUCGAAAGGCCUUGAUAGGUGCAGUUGCUCCUACGGGGUUCCGGAAAAAAAAUCGAUCGAAGGUGUUUACGUAUUUACGAGUUGCGGUGUAUACACGUGGUUUCGAAAGUUUCGCGUCGUAAUUCGUAGCCGUUCGAAUCCGAAGGGACAUCGACGAAAACUCGGAUCGGAUAAUCGUCCUUUAAACGCUUUCUCGAGGUUCGAGACAGGGUCUCGCUCGAUUGGUUCGGAGCGAAGCGAAGAGGCGGAGGAUUUCUGAAAUUACUUGGCGAACGCUGCGAACGUAGACGGUAGCGGAGUGAAGAUUCGCAAGAAAAACUAAGGACAAGAACAAGAUAAGGAGAUGGGAAAACGCGGAGUUUCGACGAUUCGAACGGGGGGUUGUUGGUAUCGAGGUGGAAGGCGAAAAAGUUAUGUCGCGGCAACGACGGAACGCAAUGCAGGGAAAGAGCAUUGCCGGAACUCAACAGGUUUCUAACGCUGGUGAGGUUUGAAAAUCGGUGUUCGUUAGAAUAGACGGCAGGAAGAGAGGAUCGGUGGAACAGGUGCAAGAGAAAAUGUGGAUGGGUUUAAGCUAUCGGUUACAAAGCUCGGCGAGAGUCGACUGUUUGCGAGCCCCGAGUCGCAUCAAGACUAUAUUCUUCGUGGAGGAAAAUUUACGAAUGCUAAGAGCGCGGGUGGUGCCAGGGCGUGAGCGAGCGUAACGAGUUCCUUGGCGCAGGUUUGAUUUAUGCCAGGUCGUAAGGGAAGAAAGCGACUCCUCACCUGCAGAGAGCUAUUCGCCGACCGACGAUGUUCGAACCUAAUGACGACCUGUCGUUCUUCUUUCCUUCGCUCUGUGUUUUUCAAACGAUGUACGUUCGAUC